AGAUCAAGGAACGUUUUUGUGCGGGCACUCUGAAACAAAGAGCAAGAACUGCAAUGUCUUAUGAAUUGAAAAGAGAUUUUCAGCAAGUGUUAUCCUCGCAAAUGGUACGGUAUGUUCAUUAUUGUUGGAAGGGUCUUGUAGACAGAGAUUAUCGAGUGGAAAUUUAUUUACAUUUGUUAGAUCUAACCACAAACAGCUGUGAAAAAUGCAACUAUACAGGUCCCUGGCAGGAAUCAAACCAAGC